rnacentral:pre_miRNA from 1 species
AGCCUGGGUGACAGCCGGACGGAUCCUGCGCUCUAACGUCGCGGCUGUUGCCCAAGCGUU